UGAGGUAGAUUUUGGCGGGUGGAAAAAAAAAUCAAAAUGAAAAGUAUAAAUUAAAAAGAAAAGAGGGUAAAAUGAUCCAGGAAAUAUUACGAGAACCACUCCACAAGUUUUGAUAUCUGCAAUAUACAUUUUUUUUUUUAUCACCAAAGGAGAAGUAUAACAAUUAAUUACGGCUUCAUAUGAAAUAACAUAAGUAAUGCACAACGUCUGUUCAAAUACAUCUAUAGCAAAUCAACAGGCGGAGUCCAGCCGGUUUAUUUA